AGCAGAGCGACGGCGGAAACCCAUUCAGCACAACCUUCGAUUGUCGAAACCCUUUUUGACAUAAGAAACCCUAACCCUAAAUACCAUAUGUGCAGGGACUAAAGCCUAAGAAGCCAUUGAACAAGCCAUCGAACUGGCCGAGCUUCUGGUUCAAAGAC